ACCUGCAGACAAGUCCACCAGUUACGACGGGGUUUAAAGGACACACAGAUCUGGCCUUUUCUGAAAGAGAGAACAGACACAGUUCCUCUUCUAUUUCCAAGAAUAUCUGAUAUACAGUUCACAGCACAGAUAAUCUUGGACAAGAUCAACUGGCCCACACACGAUGAUGAGGAAGACAUGGAAGUCUCCUUGGAGGAUACUUGUAGGGUCUCCGGAUUUCUCAGAACAUUUAUUGAGAAUGCCUCUUCCAAGCUGCUGGAGAAACUUGUGCAGUUCUGGGUGGGCUGGAAUGUACUUCCCAGAUACUUCGAUGUUGAAGUGAUUGAGAGUAGCUACCCCAAGUCUUCCACCUGCUUCCACACGCUAAAACUACCAAGACAUUACACU